GACUUUUAUUCUAUUCAGGCCUCCAACAGAUUGGAUAAGGCCCACCUGCACUGGAGAGGAAAGUCUGCUUUAUUGACUCAAAUAGAAAUCUCAUCCAGAAACACCCUCAGACAUACCCAGAAUAAUGUCUAACUAAAUAUCUGGGGACUGUCCAGUUAAGUUGACACAAGUAUCUGUCCAAGGCAAGUUGACCUUACAGUUAACUAUUAUAGCAGCUUACUGAGUAAUGAUAAGAAUGAGAGGGGUUGAAGAUUGUUGUAUAGAUUUAUUUUGAAAAUUUAGUAUAUGCCAUGGCCUUGGCCAGGCAUGUUUUCUUUGUCUAAACAGCGUUUACAGGCCAACCUGGUUGCCACAUCCUCUGGGUGCCAGCUUAACUGAAAGGAGGCCUAGAAUAUUCACAUUUAAUUCUGAUUCAGCUACCUAGAUUCUCGUUGAUUUGACAUAGUCCUAGAUCAUGACAUUUGGAAAAGAGUCACCCCUGGAGCCUUCCUCUCAAAGGAAAAUGGCCCAGAAUAACUAUCUCAAACUGUUGUAGGUUCCUUAAAUCCCACUAACUGCUGGGUUUGCUAUCAUUGAAAAAGCAAGAGUUCCAGAAAAACAGUUCAAUUCAGUUGCUCAGUUAGUCAACAGGACUGAACUGAACUGAGCCAGGUGGCUCUGACCACAGUUCAAUUCUUUAACCUGCUGAGAAAUCUUAUCAGAAACAUCAGGUGUACUUUCAACUCCUGUAGUCUCAGGCAAAACACAUCACAAUCUUUGGACAUGUGUCCCUCACCCUCAUUCUUGUAGCUCAUCAGUCUGUGGAAUGGACAGAUGUCACCUGACUGGUGAUAUGGACAAAUGGAACAGGUUGGACUAACUGUCAUCAGGCAGUCUUUCCAAAAAUAAGAACUGUUUUCAAUGAUUCUAAAUGAACUGGGGACUUCCUGGUGGUCCAGUGGUUAAGAAUCUGCCUUCUAAUUCAGGGGACACAAGUUCGAUCCCUGGUCUGGAAAGAUUCCACAUGCUGCAGGGUGACUAAGGCCAUGCC
ensembl:lncRNA